GACAGAGGUGCCGAGCGUUAGGCGGAAUCACUGGGCUUAAAGCGUGUGUAGGCGGAAGGGUAAGUACCUUGUGAAAUCCCACGGCUCAACCGUGGAACUGCUUGGUAUACUGCUUUUCUUGAGCCACUUAGGGGCAACCGGAACAAAUGGUGGAGCGGUGAAAUGCGUAGAUAUCGCUUGGAACGCCAACGGUGAAAACAGGUUGCUGGGGGUGUGCUGACGCUGAGACACGAAAGCCAGGGGAGCGAACGGG
rnacentral:rRNA from 1 species